rnacentral:rRNA from 1 species
GACGAACGCUGGCGGCGUGCCUAAUACAUGCAAGUAGGACGCAGUUGCGAACGGGUGUGUAACGCGUAGGUAACUACCUAUUAGAGGGGGAUAACUAUUGGAAACGCUAGCUAAUACCGCAUACUAGUAGAUGGACUUGCGUGGUAUUAGGUAGUAGGUUGGGUAAUGGCCUACCUAGGCAACGAUACAUAGCCGACCGGAGGGGGUGAUCGGCCACAAUGGGACUGAGACAAGGCCCAAACUCCCACGGGAAGCAGCAGUAGGGAAUCUUAGGCAAUGGGGGGAACCCUGACCGAGCAACGCCGCGGGAGUGAAGAAGGUUUUCGGAUCGUAAAGCUCUGGUGUUAAGGAAGCGGUACUUAACCAGAAAGGGACGGCUAACUACGUGCCAGCAGCCGCGGUAAUAC